rnacentral:tRNA from 1 species
GCGAGAGUGGCGGAAAUGGCAGACGCACCGGAUUUAGGUUCCGGCGGUUUCACCGUGGGGGUUCAAGUCCCCCCUCUCGCACCA